AGGACGAACGCUGGCGGCGUGCCUAAUACAUGCAAGUCGAACGCACUGACGUCGACAGAAGGUGCUUGCACUGGAAGUUGAUUGACGUGAGUGGCGGACGGGUGAGUAACACGUGGGUAACCUGCCCUUAAGCGGGGGAUAACAUUUGGAAACAGAUGCUAAUACCGCAUAAAAGUUGAGAUCACAUGGUCUUAAUUUGAAAGACGGCCUUUGGCUGUCACUUAAGGAUGGACCCGCGGCGUAUUAGCUAGUUGGUGAGAUAAUAGCCCACCAAGGCGAUGAUACGUAGCCGACCUGAGAGGGUAAUCGGCCACAUUGGGACUGAGACACGGCCCAAACUCCUACGGGAGGCAGCAGUAGGGAAUCUUCCACAAUGGACGAAAGUCUGAUGGAGCAACGCCGCGUGAGUGAAGAAGGUUUUCGGAUCGUAAAACUCUGUUGUUGGAGAAGAACAGGGACUAGAGUAACUGUUAGUCCUUUGACGGUAUCCAACCAGAAAGCCACGGCUAACUACGUGCCAGCAGCCGCGGUAAUACGUAGGUGGCAAGCGUUGUCCGGAUUUAUUGGGCGUAAAGCGAGCGCAGGCGGUUUCUUAAGUCUGAUGUGAAAGCCUUCGGCUUAACCGAAGAAGUGCAUCAGAUACUGGGAAACUUGAGUGCAGAAGAGGAAAGUGGAACUCCAUGUGUAGCGGUGAAAUGCGUAGAUAUAUGGAAGAACACCAGUGGCGAAGGCGGCUUUCUGGUCUGUAACUGACGCUGAGGCUCGAAAGUAUGGGGAGCGAACAGGAUUAGAUACCCUGGUAGUCCAUACCGUAAACGAUGAAUGCUAAGUGUUGGAGGGUUUCCGCCCUUUAGUGCUGCAGCUAACGCAUUAAGCAUUCCGCCUGGGGAGUACGACCGCAAGGUUGAAACUCAAAGGAAUUGACGGGGGCCCGCACAAGCGGUGGAGCAUGUGGUUUAAUUCGAAGCUACGCGAAGAACCUUACCAGGUCUUGACAUCUAGCGCCAAUCCUAGAGAUAGGACGUUCCCUUCGGGGACGCUAAGACAGGUGGUGCAUGGUUGUCGUCAGCUCGUGUCGUGAGAUGUUGGGUUAAGUCCCGCAACGAUCGCAACCCUUAUGAUUAGUUGCCAGCAUUUAGUUGGGCACUCUAAUCAGACUGCCGGUGACAAACCGGA
rnacentral:rRNA from 1 species